UAAAGGAAGAGUGCUUGUCCAUGGACAGUACAAAAGUCACAAGUGCUGGGAAUGGUACAUCAAGACACAAACAAGACCUUGUUAAAAAGAAUAGAAAAGUCCUCUGAAAGCCAAAUCAACCCAAACAAGAGAUACAAACAGGUUCUCUGUCACCCAGGUUGGAGUACAGUGGCGUGAUAAUGGCCUACUGCAGCUUCUAUCUCUCGAGCUCAAGUGAUCCUCCCAUCUCAGUCUCCCGAGUAGCUGGGACUAAAGGAAAAUAUUUGGAUCAAGUCUACAGAGAAAUAUCACAAAUGAUUAAAGGACCAAGAAAAAAAAAUCUUGUGAAGUGUUUAAGGUGGAUUGGCUCCAGGAUGGACCACCAUGGAUAACAAAAUCUGGAGAUGCUCAAGUCUCUUACAGCCAGCCCUCUGGGUCCACAGAUACAACCAACCAUCCAUCAGCUGAUGAGGAACCCAU